UUAGCUCGCCGUGGGUUAGCUGGCGGUGGGUUAGCUCGCCGUGGGUUAGCUCGCCGUGGGUUAGCUCGCCGUGGAUUAGCUCACCGUGAGUUAGCCAGCAGAUCCCCUCAUGCUGGGCCUUGGGUUGUUUCCAGUCUUUGGCCAAUCAAAUGUCAGAGUUGGACCCAGCACCUCCGUUGGGACUGCAGAGUGCUUGUCUUCUAAGUCUGGUUAGAAGGGCAUUUCCACAUCCUUGUGGAUUCUGGCCAUCGUAUCUUAAGGAUACAUUUCUGGAAGUGGGAUUGCCAGUCGGCGGGGAGAGGCUCAUCUGGCUUGUCUGGGUGUUGUCCCUGUCCCCAAGGGGCCAGGCGUUCUGCAUCCCCACAGCAUUGUAGGAAGUCCCUGCCCCCCUCAGCAGCCGAAUCUGGUGUCAAAUUUGGAUUUGGGUCAAUCUUGUAGGUGAGAAAUGGAGUCUUGGGGUGGUUUUGGUUUGCAUUUCUCUCUCUCUUUUUUUUUUUUAAUCAUUUUCUUGAUUUUCCAAACUCAUGAGCUCGUUUGAAUAAGGAAUAUUAAUCCUAAUAUUUCUCAUUUUAAGUUAUAAUUUUUAUUGAGGUAAAAUAUACAUAAAACAACAUUUUUAUCAGAGUCCUAUAGAUGGUUAAAAAAAUUCACCAUUUUAACCAUCUCUUAAAGUCUACAAUUUAGCAGCAUUUAAUACAUUCAUAACGUACAACCAUCACUUCUGUGUGCUUCCAAAGCCUUCAUCACGCCAGAAGGAGACCCCGCGCCCGUUCAACACCAUCCCCCCACCCUCAGUCCCCGACAGUCACUGCCCUGCUUCCCACUCAAGUCACCGACACUUUGAAAAUGUGCUAUGUUAUAAAACUUUUUUCCCAGUAUACAUUUUGUCUUUUAUCACUCCUGGGUUUUAAGUCAUAUUUAAGAAGAUUUUGCCCACUCCCCGGUGAUGAAGGAAUUCACUUUUUCCUAGUACUUUUGACCCAUUUGGAAUUUGUCUUAGUGUAUGGUAUGAAGUGCAGAUUCAUUUUCGUCUUUCUCCAAGUGGUUAACGUUUAACCACUUGUAUUAACAAGUCCAUCCUUUCCUCACCGGUAUCAUAUGCUACCUUAUAGACUGAAUGUUCUAGGCACUGGGGUCUGUCCCCGGGUUUUCAUGUCCCUGGGCCUGCUUGCCUACAUGGGUCCUGGUGUCAUGUGGUUCCAUUACGGAGGCCAGGAGAUGGUUCGGGGGCAGAGGACCUCUCCAUUUCUUUUGCAGAGUUUUCCUGGCUAUUUUUACACUCCUGUGCACUUCCUCUCUCACAUGAACUUUAUAAUUAGUUUUCUAGAUCUGGGGAAAAGCAUGCGGCGUUUUUAUAAGGAUUACAUUACAUUUAUAAAUUUACUUUUGUAGAAUUGUCUUGCUUAGGAGAGUUUUCUUAUCCAGGAACAUGGUCUUUCUUUCUGUCUUAAUUCAUUUUCUGUUGCUAUGACUGAAUACCACAGAGUGGGUAAGUUAUAAAGAAAAGAAUUUUAUUUCUUACAGUUCUGGAGGCAGGGAGUCCAAGGUAUAGGAGUUGCAUCUGGUGAGGACCUUCUUGCUGGUCAAGACUCUGCAGUCUCAAGUGGUGCCGGGCAUUAUGUGAGGGUCUCAUGAGAGACGGCAAAGCUGGCUUUUAUAACCAGCCCCCUGGUGAUAACUGCUCCACUCCCUGAGAACCCAUUAGUCCAUGAAUGGAUUAGUCCUCAUGAGCCAAUCACCUCCCCAGAAUCCCAUCCCAGCACUGCUGCAUUGGAGUCCAGGUUUCCAACACAUGAACUUUUGGGGAAUUCAUUCAAACCAUGGUGGUGUUAAAAUCGACUUUGGUGUCUUUAUGGUCUAUUUAAAGUUUUUCCCAUUUAGGGUUUCACAUUUCUUUUACGCAUGGGGAUUUUUAUCUUUUUGUUGCUGUUAAAAAUGGGUCAUCUCUUCCACUCUGUCUUUGAACUGAAAGUAUGCACAAAGAUCUCUGUGUGCUACUUUAAAUCCUGCUGUUUCUCUGAAUUCUCUUAGUGUUUGUAACAUCACUUUCUUGUGCUGGAAAUAUAACAAAGUAUUUGAUCCAAGAAGCAUCUGGCAGGAAGCCUGGGCAGGAGGGGCACCUUGAGCAUGGGCUUCCUCCUCCCCUUUCCUCUGUCUCUUCUCCUACCGGCUGCUUUCCUUCUCUCCCAUCUGCUGUCCACCAGGCAGGCGUUGCCAGACCACCCCAGAGGUCCCCUCUUCAUGUUUCUUGAGGCUGCGUGGGGGGAGGGCAUGAUAGAGGGAGGCAGGGCUUCGAAGGAGGCACUCGGGGGAGGGGGGGGCGAGGAGAGGAUGGGGCAUGCGAGGGGGCCUUGUCCUCCAGCUUUGUCAGAAGCCUAAUGUGCCCUGUGGCCUGAGCUGGCAUCAGACAGGCUUUAAGAGGAGAAUGUCAGCUGGGUGCGGUGGCUCACACCUGUAAUUCUAGCACUUUGGGAGGCCGAGGUGGGUGGAUCCCUUGAGGUCAGGAGUUCGAGACCAGCCUGGCCAACAUGGCAAAACCCCAUCUCUAUGAAAAAUAGAAAAAUUAGCCAGGCGUGGUGGCAGGCGCCUGUAAUUCCAGCUACUCAGGAGGCUGAGGCACAAGAAUCACUUGAACCCGGGAGGCAGAGGUUGCAAUGAGCCAAGACUGCGCCACUGCACUCCAGCCUGGGCGACAGAGUGAGGUCCUAAAAAGGGAAGAAUAUCGCUGCAUCAGAAAGCAGGAAGGUGGGGCCUGCCCGGGGCCAUGGCCCUGCAAUGAGUUUGGCCCAGAGGCACAGACAGACAGGAGACCAAAGUGAAAUGAAUGAAAAUGGACUGGACCCGAUCGGAGGACUGAGGAGAGCCAGGCCUCAGGGCACCUGGCAUUUGUUCCCUGGAUGGAUCAGGGGAACUGAGGAGAGCCGGGCCGCAGGGCACCCUGGCGUUUGUUCUCUGGGCGGAUCAGGGGAACCGAGGAGAGCCGGGCCGCAGGGCACCCUGGCGUUUGUUCCCUGGAUGGAUCAGGGGAACCGAGGAGAGCCGGGCCGCAGGGCACCCUGGCGUUUGUUCCCAGGGUAGGGGAGCUCUAGCAUGGCACACAGUAGCAGAAGAUAGCAGGUUGUGGUCGGCCCAUGUAGAGAUUUUAGAAACAUCUCACACUUCAUGAGAUCUUAGAAACAUCUCACACUUCAGGUUCAGUCACCCGUGUCCAGUGUCCACAGGAAGGCCUGUGCAAGGCCUCAUGGGAAACAGGGUGGUCCACCAGGCCUGCCCUCAAGGGGGCCCCGUCCCGGAGAAGCAGAUGCACAAAGCUGAGGGACACAGGUCGUGGGCCUUCUUGUGUGGCUCCUUGGCCACGGCACCGCAGCACCUGAGAGCCACCGCUGGAGAGGCAAACGAGCCCUGCAGCAGGCCCGAACCAGAGUUCCUGGGCACGGCCGCGUGCACCCAGUCGGGAGCUUCCCUGCUAAGGGUCAGCGAAGGCUUGGGGUGCUGGCAUUAGGGCUGGGUCCUGAGGGAAGAUGAGGGAGAGAAGUAUAGGAGGAGGAGGGAGUUGAAGGCUGCAGACAGGAGGAGGAAGGGGAGGGAGUAGGGCUGCCAGGGGAGGGGUGGAGGGCUGGAUAAGGAGGAGGGCUACAAAGAAAAGAGUAGAGCUGCAGGGAAGGAGGGUGGAGGGCUGCAGCGGGAGGAGGAGAGGGAGGAAGGCUGCAAGGGGAGGAGGAGUAUUGCAGGGGAGGGGGAGGAGAGCUGGCAGGGGAGGAGGAGGAGGGCUACAAAGAAAAGAGAACUGCAGUGGGAGAAGGAGAGUGGUGGAGAGUUGCAGGGGAAGGGGAGAGGGAGGAGGACUGGAGGAGGAGGAGGGAUGUAGGAGGAGGGUAGUGGAGGGCUGCAGAGGAGGAGGAAGAGGAGAAUAGGGAGGACAAAUCCACUCUAGCAGGGGAACGAAAGCAGCAUGGGGCAGACAAAUCCACUCUAGCAUUCCAAUCUCCCUAAGCCUUUGAAUCCCUUCUUCUACACUAACCAUGGGCGGCCAGGCAUGUCCAGUUAUCCCAUGGUGGGCCAUGUUUUGGCCCAUGUUUCAGCCAAGCAGCCAACCAACCAAUUAGAGCCCUUUCUAAAUGCGGAAUCUCUGCUUAGUGAGCCCGUAUCAAUAAACUUGGCCUGAUCUAACUCUGUGUUCCUCCUACCAUUCUCCCAGGCCCUCAAUAUGCAUUCCCACGGUCCUGGGAUUUCUAUGUAAACUGGAAAACUCACGUUCUCUUUGCAGACACCGUGAGGCUGGGAGUUCCACAUGUGCUAUAAUCCAGCCACUGGAAGGGCGAGAUUCUGGGUUUGAUUUUCAGUAGUCUCAGACCCGCAGCUAAAGGAGCCUGGACCUGUGGCCUUGGCGUUGCUCAAAGUGUCGUCGCCCACUGGGCACACAGUGCCCAGCCCCAUGCCAGACUCCACAGGAGGAAGACAGGAGGGGACGGAAGUCUUGGGGUUUCUGUGCUGAGGGACACCUGUAGCCAUGUGCGACAUCUUGGGACAUUGCCCUCUGCACCCCCAAUUCAGCCUUCAGAGGAGACCACAGCCCCCGCAGACCACGUGACCUCAAUCUCUCGAGAUGCUAAAGCUAAGGCCCCAGCAGAGGGGUCUGAGCGCUGUCACCCCUGGCCGCUGAUUUACACACCAGGCCAACACCCGCUGUACAGGAAAGAAGGCUAGACUCUCGGCAGGGGAGCCACCCUCCACACCCAGGGCCCAGCGGCAACUGCGGUCUGGCCGGAGCAGGGCAGGAAGUUGGGGGCGUGGAGACAGAGGAAGGGUUUGGCUCUGACACCCACCCCUCGGGGCCUUGCUUUUCCCACUCGGGAGGGCGGGGGCUGGGGCAGCGGGUCCUUAGCACAGGGGUAGGAUCGGGGGUAAGUCAGUGCUGGAUCUGGGCAGAGGAGAGUCCAGGGCCUGCCUGUAGGUCUCGGCCCUUGCCCCACCCCCUGCCUCACCCAUCUCCCCCAGGAGUGCUCAGGUGACCACCCAUCCGCCACUCCCUCCCGUACCUCUGCACCCUCGCACCCCAGCUCUCCCACCCCCACAGGCGCUCAGACACUCACCCAUCCGCCACUCCCUCCUGUACCUCUGCACCCUCGCACCCCAGCUCUCCCACCCCCACAGGCGCUCAGACACUCACCCAUCCGCCACUCCCUCCCGUACGUCUGUACCCUCGCACCCCAGCUCUCCCACCCCCCAGGCGCUCAGAGGCUCACCCAUCCACCACUCCCUCCUGUACCUCUGCACCCUCGCACCCCAGCUCUCCCACCCCCACAGGCGCUCAGACACUCACCCAUCCGCCACUCCCUCCCGUACGUCUGUACCCUCGCACCCCAGCUCUCCCACCCCCCAGGCGCUCAGAGGCUCACCCAUCCACCACUCCCUCCUGUACCUCUGCACCCUCGCACCCCAGCUCUCCCACCCCCACAGGCGCUCAGACACUCACCCAUCCGCCACUCCCUCCCGUACGUCUGUACCCUCGCACCCCAGCUCUCCCACCCCCCAGGCGCUCAGAGGCUCACCCAUCCGCCACUCCCUCCCGUACCUCUGCACCCUCGCACCCCAGCUCUCCCACCCCCCAGGCGCUCAGACACUCACCCAUCCGCCACUCCCUCCCGUACGUCUGUACCCUCGCACCCCAGCUCUCCCACCCCCCAGGCGCUCAGAGGCUCACCCAUCCACCACUCCCUCCUGUACCUCUGCACCCUCGCACCCCAGCUCUCCCACCCACACGGGCACUCAGGCGCUCACCCAUCCGCCGCGUCUCCGCAGCCAGGUUGCCAGGGUCUUGCGCACGAACUCCCCCAGGCAGUCCACGAGGGCGUGGACCAUGGCAGGCUGGGCCUGCCUCACACAGUCCACGGCCAGCCCCGCGGCCACCGCAUACAGGGACACCACCUUGCCCCACGUGAUGCCUGCAGGGAGAGAGAUGGUCAAGAUCAGGACUUGAAUCCCGCCCACGGGAGCACUUAAGGAAGGGGCUGGGCCUCUCUGAGCCGCUGUCCUGCUUGCCGUCCAGCUAAUGACCAGGGACCGUCCCAAGGGGGGACCGCUCCCUGACAGGAUGCCUGUCAGGUAGUUCUUGGGCAGGCAGGUUUCUCGGCCUCCACUGCACACCUGCCCAGCCCACGUCUGUGCAGGAGGCCGCAGGGACAACGUGGGGUGAGGCGAGGGAACUGAGGGCAGCAGCAGAUGGAGUGAGCAGCCAGUGACCUCACGGGUGGCACCCCUGGGCUGCCUGUUCCCACAACAGGCCUGGCGUCCACAUUUUACACAUAAAGAAGCUGAGGCCCGCAGAGAAACUGCCUUCCCCAGACCCCUAACCUGCUGAGGCUGAACUGAGAUGGGAGCAGCCUUGAAAGAGAGGACGAAAGAUGGUGACAGCGGGGGAAAGAAUAAAAGGCAGGACACGACGCCUCAACACGGAAAGACGUCUUAUACGUGAGCGAGAAAAGAGAGGCUUUCAAAAAAGAACUAUGAGCACAGAACUGGAACAGCUGAUUCACAAAAGAAAAUUAUAAUAAGAGACACGAAAAAUGUUUACCUUCAUUAAUAACCAAAGAAAGGCAAAUUAAAACAAAAUGUAAUCUGUUGCAUUAAAAGCUUUUACGCCAGGCGCGGUGGCUCACGCCUGGAAUCCCAGCACUUUGGGAGGCCGAGGCGGGCAGAUCACAAGGUUGGGAGUUCAAGAGCAGCCUGACCAACAUGGUGAAACCGUCUCUACUAAAAAUACACAAAAAAUUAGCCAGGCGUGGUGGCACGCGCCUAUAAUCCCAGCUACUCGGGAGGCUGAAGCAGGAGAAUCACUUGAACCCGGGGAGGCGGAGGUUGCAGUGAGCUGAGAUCGCGCCAGUACACUCCAGCCUGGGCGACAGAGCGAGACCCCGUCUCUAAAUAAAUAAAUAAAUACAUGCUUUUAAAUGGCAGUGUGAGGAUUCAGGCCACUGCACAGCCUUGUAAACCUUGGUGGGAAGCCCAGCUUGAGGGCACUGGCAGUAUCUGAAUGGCCACAAAACAUGCAGCCCAGCAGUGAUCCCCGCAGGGAGUUAGCAGCGGUCCCCGGAGGGAGUCAGCAGUGGUCCCUGGAGGGAGUUAGCCUGAGGACACUGUACAUGCAAAGAUGAAGCACUGCUCUCCAAUCCACCCUCAUACAGCGGCCAACCUGGAUUUGUUAUGAAAACAUAAAUCAGCUCAAACAAACACUCAGUCACAGACAUUCACAGCAGCCAAUUCACAAUUGCCAAAAGGUGGAAAGAACCCAAGUAUCCUUCAACAGAUAAAUGGAUACAAAUGUGGUGGAUGUUACUCAGCCACAGAAGGCAGGCUGGGCACAGUGGCUCACGCCUAUAAUCCCAGCACCUUGGAAGGCCGAGGUGGGCAGAUCACCUGAGGUCAGGAGUUCAAGACCAGCCCGGCCAACAUGGUGAAACCCCAUCUCUACUAAAAAUACAAAAAUUAGCCGGAUAUGGUGGUGGGCGCCUGUAAUCCCAGCUACUCGGGAGGCUGAGGCAGGGCAAUCACUUGAACCCAGGAGGUGGAGGUUUCAGUGAGCCCAGAUCGCACCACUGUACUCCAGCCUGGGAGACA
rnacentral:lncRNA from 1 species